rnacentral:lncRNA from 10 species
CCAGGAAGCAGGCCCGCAGCGCCAGGAGGGGGUUUCCUGAGGACAGAGGCCCUUGUCCUGAUUGUCGCAGCAGGCCCUGUCGAUGGACUUAACUGUGAAAAUCACCCUUUCAGGGGUGGAUGCAAGGACUUCUGAGGGCGGAGAAGUAGAUACCUUCCUGGAUAGCUGUGGAGCCGGGGUCCUGCAUUUCCCUCUGGCGUCUCUGCUGACUGAGAUGUGAAGCAGUCGGCCCAUGUCCCGAGAAGAGGUUGGCCACAACUCUGUGCCACAUCCUCUUCAUUUUAGAAUCCAGGAUGAAGGAUAUGCCCUUAUCUGGUAUGUUGCCAUUCUGGGUCAGAGGAAAAAAUCAUGGAAGCAUGAGACUCUUAAA